UCCCAAGUGGACAUCCUGGGCGAGACGGCUGAGCCCCCGCGGCCCCCGCGCCGGCCGAGCACCGCAGGCGACCCAUCUCCCUGUUCCUCCGCCGCCUCUGCACCCACACCCCGACUCCUAGCCUGACCCCUCGCUCCAGGACACCCCCAGUCCCGUGCCUCGCGCAGGUGGCGCAGACGCCCCUGCCCUCCGGCGCCCCCUGCCGGGGAGAGGGAAGGCAGCGGCCGCCGAGAAGCCGAGCACAGGCGGGGAAAGAGCUCCAGCGCCGGGAAGAAGCCGGGAGCUUCCCUGAUGGUGCCGCCGCCUCCGAGUCGGGGAGGAGCUGCGAGGAGGCAGCUGGGCAGGAGCCUGGGUCCGCUGCUGCUGCUCCUGGCGCUGGGACACACGUGGAGCUACCGAGAGGAGCCCGAGGACGGCGACAGAGAGAUCUGCUCAGAAAACAAGAUCGCCACGACGAAAUACCCGUGUCUGAAGCCUACGGGGGAGCUCACCACGUGUUUCAGG